rnacentral:rRNA from 1 species
CUUGGUCAUUUAGAGGAAGUAAAAGACGUAACAAGGUCUCCGUUGGUGAACCAGCGGAGGGAUCAUUACCGAGUUUACAACUCCCAAACCCCUGUGAACAUACCAUUUGUUGCCUCGGCGGUGCCUGCUUCGGCAGCCCGCCAGAGGACCCAAACCCUUGAUUUUAUACAGUAUCUUCUGAGUAAAUGAUUAAAUAAAUCAAAACUUUCAACAACGGAUCUCUUGGUUCUGGCAUCGAUGAAGAACGCAGCGAAAUGCGAUAAGUAAUGUGAAUUGCAGAAUUCAGUGAAUCAUCGAAUCUUUGAACGCACAUUGCGCCCGCCAGUAUUCUGGCGGGCAUGCCUGUUCGAGCGUCAUUUCAACCCUCAAGCCCCCGGGCUUGGUGUUGGAGAUCGGCGUGCCCCCCGGGGCGCGCCGGCUCCCAAAUAUAGUGGCGGUCUCGCUGUAGCUUCCUCUGCGUAGUAGCACACCUCGCACUGGAAAACAGCGUGGCCACGCCGUUAAACCCCCCACUUCUGAAAGGUCGACCUCGGAUCAGGUAGGAAUACCCGCUGAACUUAAGCAUAUCAAUAAGCGGAGGAA